UCACGGACCACUGACACUGAGUGGGUGGACACUAUCCACUUCCCAGAGGCUUAAUUAAUGAACUAUGACACAGAGAGGAUUUUGAUUUUGAUUUUGACACCAAACGACAAUGUGGGAAACUAGAUGAUUACAGUCUGCUCUCUUGAGAACAUGUUCUCCAGGAAUCGCUUCAAUGGUCAACAUGGAGCAGGUGUUGCCCCCAAAGGAGUCGUAAAGGCUAAGGUCCAUUCCCCCAAGAAGAGGGCUCCUAACCCCAGGGUAGCACUGGUCAUCCGUGGUAAAAUACAUCGCCUCUUGCAAGGGUCUUCAGACCACCAUGUCCCAGACUCCCAGCCGUAUUAUGCAGGUAUUGAGGAUGAGGAAGAGAGGGAAACGCAAGAGGGCGAAAAAGAGCACAGAAGCAGAUCCCCAAAGGUCAGGUCCAGGGCUGAAUCCUGCUCUCCAAAGGUGCCAAACGGUAAAGGACAUGGAGAAGCACCGGGGCCGCCGUGUGUCGGAGAGGUGGAGCUGAACAGAGAGGGAUGUAUAAGAUUACCAUGCACCUUGCAGCAUAAAAGCGGCAGAUCCCCAGCAAAUUCGAAAAGAAUUUCCUUCGAGGGGGACAUUCCAGCAGCUCCUGAGCAGAUGCAACCGGCCCCCCACCACAAUCCAACUGGGCCAGACAUGAAUGGUGCUAAAUUUGCAGGAGCAGCUGGGACGGAUUUUGCUUCACCCCGUGUUCGGCCAAAGAGACCCUUUUCUGCCGGUGACUGUCUGGACUACAACUUCAACAGAGCUCUGCCGGGUACACUGCUGGAAGAGGACGAAGAAAAAGAGGAGGAGUCGAGCGAUGUCAUUGAGCACAUUCUUAAAGAGCUGAGGGGGAUCAACAAGAUACAGGAGGAAAUCUCAGACCUUCGGGAUUAUCUGACCUCGGUUCGGGGGUCAGUUGAGGAAGUGUCAUCUUGUGUAGAUGCCGUGUUGCUGGAGAUUGAGGGCAUUCGGUCUAGCAACAAGGCGGGUUCAGAUGCCCACGCAGAUACUUGGUCGGGAGCGGGGUCCAAAGAUGGAUCAUCCUCCCGUAGAAGGCCCGCUAGUGCUUAUGGCAGUUUAGGGAGCACAGUGCCAAAGUCUUCCUCAACUCUUCUCCCCCAAGUCUGCAAUGAGCGUCAUGGCAUCCGUGCUGAUUUAGGGGCAGAGGAGUCUACUGUGUCCCCAGUUGUUGAAUCAGUAGAUCAUCAGGAACUGGAGGAAGCAGAGGAUAUCUCUGACCAGAGUUCGGAUAUCCCAAUAGGUGCGAUAGCGAGAAAACUCAGAUUUGGCUACUGCGAAAGGCAGGAUGACCAAGACUACCCAAGCACCAGCUCCUUGUCAUCUGGUCAUAGUGAGUCAGACCUAGAGGGACCAUCAUUGAGUCAUGGAAGGAAGCAGCAAAAUGCUGAUGAUAGGGAGGAACAUUGGACCAAUGCUGGACAACCACACAGUGCUUCCGGGGAGUCUGCCAGGCAUAGGGAAACUACCUACCGCAGGGGCAGGAGUCUGGAGGAGCAUGGAAGUGAGAGCCCUCUCUGCUGUGAAGGAGCUGGGAGCUGGGAGCACUACAGAGGUGGAGGAGGUUAUGGUACUUCAGGGCAGUGCUCCACAGGAAGCUCGGAGCAUCUCUCUCUUCGCUCUAGAAAACAUUACAACUCACCUGCCAGCACUUCUAGCAGGGAGGACUGGCAGCCACGUAGAAGAAGGCCUCAAGCCAAGUCUGGGAGUAAUAUUCCAAUAGAUACCAACCUUGAAAAGCCUGCUCUGGCAUAUGAAUAUUCUGCUGAUUUGUCUUACCCUCAAAGUACUGGUUACCAUUCAAAUGAUGGGCAUGAUGGAGCAGCAAAGGAAUUUGAUUAUGGGAAACCAAACGACCUGACCUACACCACCGACUGUCAUGUCGAUAGUUAUCAGGAACCUUACUUUGCCUACGAAGAAUCUUCAGCAGUCACAUGGACUGAGGAAUCCUUACGUACCACUCUAGCUGAUGUGGAUAGACCAUUCGUCCAAGAGACUAGAGCCACCAGGCAAAGCUCAGACAAUCGACUUCCUCGCUCCGUCAGUGCCGAUGUCCAAGCUGGUGGUUUCAAUGUGAAGCGCAUCGGCCGAGCUGUACUUGAUUUUAGCUCUGCCUUACGCGGUGCAUUGUGCAAAAUUGAAGUACCUGCGUCCCAGAAUCUUGGAGAGGAAGCAGAGGUUGAAAUAUCAAUGCAGUCUGACGUGCCCACAGCUGAUUUGCAUUCAAAACCUCUAUGCUAUGAGGCACAAUUUGAACAAACAUGCGACCAAAUCCUGGAAGGCAACCUUGGUGACAGUGGUAGGGCUGUACGGGAGUUACGCAGACACAAUACUCUAGACACAUCCGAACUUUUCUCCAGGGAGCCUACGCUUGAAGAAGCCAACAACGGCCUUACAUCGCAGUCUACAUACACCUGCCAACACCCUCCAUGUUCAGACAAGAUCCCCCCAUUCCCAGAAGAACCUUCAGUCUGCCCUGACCCAUUUUCCAGUAGCACUACAGCACUGCCUCCACCUUAUGGCCUUACAGAACAACCUGCAGAAUGUCCCGCGAGUGGUCCUGCAGAUCGGACCGUUAAGGCCCAGAUUUCUCAAUGCACCACCACAGAAUCCCUGUCAGUCUCCCUGUCAGUUGAUGAACCUGCAGAGCUGGAGGAGCAGGGAGAAACGGAGGUGGAGCUGACACGACAACCUGCUACAGGGUUCGUAGGCGAUGCAGCAGAGCCCCCCUUGGACAUAAGUCAGAUGGAUGAACGCAGGCUAAAGUGCCUGAGGACCUUCCAGCAGAUUCUGCGGGAGAAGAGGGAGUCCCGACGCAACCUCACCAGUAUGACAAUGUGCAGCUUCUCUCAGGAUGACUUUGAACCAGAUGGAAAUCAAGGAGGAGAUCAGAGCCGAGAUCAGGGUGGGGACCCCAGCAAGCACCCAUGGGCCAAGCCGGGGUGAGCGGACGCUCUUUGGUGUCAACUGUCUGUGUGUUUCCUUUAUUUAAAUACGAAUCCUUGCAUAUUGGUAUCUGUGUGUGUGUGUGUGUGUGUGUGUGUGUGUGUGUGUGUGUGUGUGUGCGCGUGCAGGGGAAACACGCCGUUUGGCAUCGACAGCAUGCCAGACCUCCGCAAGAGGAGACCCAUUCCUCUUGUUAGUGAAUUGGUGAGUCCACGUCACGCGAUGUCUGCCUCCUGACGCCAUGAACCACACUUUACCUGAUUUAAAAAAAAUAAGAGUUAAUGGGAGCAAGUGUGUUGUUGAAUAAACACCAAGUAAUAAAAGCAUAUAUCGAAGGUAUAUAUAUUAUAUCAUAUGAAGUGAUAUGAAAAGUUGUUUCUGAUUUAAUGAGGGGUUUUAUAUUCUAUGGUGUUAUCGGGGAAUUGAUCAUGCAUUCUUUAUGCAUAAUACAUUUAGAAUUCCCAUGAAUGCCUUUCAUCGACACACAAAUCCGACAGAUUCAGCAAGUUGAAGAAAACAGGAGAGUUAAAAUAACAUGGAGAUGUUUUUGCAGUGUUUGUGAUAAUUACCGUUAUUUUAUCUUUGCAAAUAAUAGCGUUAAGUUCCAUCAUAAAAAGAAAAGAAAAAAAGAAUCUAAAAUAUGUCAACAAACAUCAUCAGCAUUCAUCCACAAUGACUUUAUCUUUGAUGUAUUCAUUCACUAGGGACAAAAUGCACGUUGCCUCAAUGCACCCUGUUAGUCUUUCUUUCUGUCUGAGACUUUGUGCGUCCCCGACGUCCCUCACUGACCUCCCUCCACCUGCGAAAGGUCUCGCUAAGCAGCUGACACGUUGUCCCCUGCUCAUUCGAUCCUUUACCAAUGUUUACUCGCCGGCCACGUAAAUGUACCAUGUGCACAAUAAUGUGUUUGUUUGUCUCUAACCUUUUCUUUCUGUUUGUUCUCUCUCCUUGCACCUCGCUGGUCCUCAGGCUAUGGUGAGUAAAAGCAAAGGGGGGGAGUUCGGCUGCUGCGUUGUACCGAUGUGUUGUUGGGCUCCUUUGUGGAGUCUGUGAAAGCACACACGCACACUCCUUCCCGUCUCAUUGUUCUAUUUAACAGAAAUCACUUCAUAUUUUGGCGAAUGCUUUCAGCAGAUCAACGCUUUCCUUGAUUGGUGCCUUAGCAACAAGUCCUUUUAAUCAACGUCUUGCUGGAAUCAAGAGCUCCACUUUUGAACGCGACCUUCGUCCCCAAACAGGCAGACGUGGGGGUAAAUUGUGUGCUGAAGGUUCAUCUGCUGGUCUGAGAGGUUAAGAGAACCCCCAGGCGCUGAGAUGUGAGACCCUCGACGGGUCUGACUAAAGAGACCCUUGUCCUCUGAUGUGACGUGGGCGCUCUGUUACUCAUUAUUAUGCCCUUUAUUACAUUGAAGGGAUCAAAAGGCCGCACAUUACUGGAAGGAAACGUAUCUGCCGUGAAGGUUGGAGCACCUCUGAACAUAUUGGGUUUUGAUUAAAGUCAAAGCGCUGUAUGUUUCCUCAGCGUGCCACUAUUUUUAACACGUUGUCAUGGUUACACACAAGGUUAGUCAGCACUUUUGUGGCCAGCGUGUGAGUUUAGAGCCCUGAUUCUAUUUUCUCCUGCUGCUGCGAAUGUCAGAUUUAGACUUUCAGAUUUCAGCCGCUUCAGAACUCAUCGCAUCAGGGCACCACGUUUGCCCCCCUCAGCCCAACCCUGCUUCAUUGUAUUUAAAGUCUGCAUUUGUAAGGGCAAUAUGGACCCCGAAGCAAACGUCACAUUUCAAUUCAUUGUUACAGCAGCAACACAUUUGAGGCGAGAAAAAGCCAAAACAGAAACAUA
ensembl:lncRNA